CUUCACACGAGGCGUAAACCGCGAUGCUGUUAAAAUUACAAUAUCAGUCUUCAGAGACUGACAUUGCAAAAUUAACAAGCAAAACAAAUGGUACAAUUGAGAAUUUAUUGAUUACAUCACAGGAUCAUAGGCGUGCGCAGCCUAUUGCAUUAGGGUGUGCACCCUAAAGCACAAACACACGCCGCGUGUGUGUGUGUGUGUGUGUAUGUAUAUAUAUAUAUAUAUAUAUAUAUAUAUAUAUAUACAUACACACACACACAUACACUGCUGUGUGUGCUGUUAGUGUGAUGUGUGUGUGAGGGUGCUGUUAGUGUGAUGUGAGGGUGUUUGUGUGUGUGUGUGUAUGUGUUUGUGACUGUGCUGUUUGUGUGUGUAUGUUUGUCCUGUGAGGGUGCUGUUUAUGUGAGUGUCGUGUAUUUGUGAGGGUGCUGUUUGUUUGUGUGUGUGUGUGUGAGGGUGUUGUGAUUUUUUUUUAAAGGUGCUGUGUGUGUUUGUGAGGGUGCGGUUAGUGUACUGUGUGUGUGUGUGAGCUGUAUGUGUGUAGGUGCUGUAUGUGUGUGUGCUGUAUGUUUGGAGGGAUUUGGCAGAUUAGUAAAUCCUUGCUGCCAUGUUCCAUCCCUGGUGGUCCAGUGGAGAGUGAACUCUAGCUUGCGGGGCUAGAGUUAACUCUCGCGAGAUCUGAGCGUUGCCGCAGCAACACUCAGAUAUUGCGAGAGGAACCUGGCGGAGCGUCUGUCUAGAGCUCCCUGGGUCCUCUCCUGCCUCCCUCCAUGCUGCUGUGGGCCGGUGAGGUAGAUCUUUGGUCUCCCCGCUGGCCCAUGGAGGCUUAGAGCAGAGCCGACACUCAGAUAGCGCCGGCUCUGUGUGUGUGUGUGUGUGUGUGUGUGUAUAUAUAUAUAUAUAUAUAUAUAUAUAUAUAUGCGUACACACACACACACUCACAGACACAUUCAGACACACACACAUACAUACACUCACAGACACAUACAUACACUCACAGACACACACACAUUCACAGACACACAAACACUCAGACACACAAACACUCACAGACACACAAACACACACAUUCACAGACACACACACACACUCACACAGACACACACACUCAUACACUGACACACAGACACUCACACACUCACACACAGACACACACAAGAACAAAUUAUUACAUUUUAAUUUAAAAAAAUUCCACCCAGCCUCCUACCUGGAGUGGACUUUUCCCUGGGGUCCAGUGGGGGCGAGCGCCGCUCUCCAGCUCAGCGCGCGGCGAGGGAGCUCUCUGCUCUCUGCUCUCUGCUCCCUCUCGCCGCGCGGGCUGUCUGCUGGAGCUGGGAGCCGGAAUAUGACGUCAUAUUCCGGCUCCCGGCAUCAGCGCGCGGCGAGAGGAAGCAGAGAGCAGAGAGCUCCCUCGCCGCGGCUGAGCUGCAGGGUGGGGGGGGAAUCAUCACCUCUUGCCCUCCCAUGACAGGGGCAAGAGGUGAAACAGGGGGCACUGAGUGCCUGCAGGAACAGCGUUCCUACUCAAAAAAAGUGCAGGAACGCUGUUCCUGCAGGACUCAAACCAUAGGCGUGCCACGGGGAUUAGGGUGUGCCCAGGCACACCCGGCACACCCCGUGCGCACGCCUAUGCACAGGAUGAUGCAGAGCCAAAUGCAUUGAUGAUGCAUUUAUGGUCCAAAGGGGCAUUGCAGUGUCCAUGGAACACUUAAGUUACAUUACAUUUUAUUUGCAUGUCCUUUAACUGGUGCAAGGAAUUGUUAGUAAACCUUGUUAGUACAUGUCAUCAGAUCAGGAAAGGGUUUUGUGGUUAUCAUUCACAUCAUGUGAUAACACUUAGAAAUAUUUUU